UUAACCCCAAAACGUAUAGAGUAGUUCCCCUUUGUUGACAUAGCAUUUGACAACAUAUGCCUUGGUUUUAGCAUAACAUUUUAACGAUGAAUGUUUUAAUACUGUAUAAAUGAAAUCUUAUGAUAAUAAGUUGGAGACAGUAUAGUACCAGAAAGGCUGUUUACCAAAAGGCGUUGGCGGGAAACCAUCAUCAACUUGAGAUAUAAAACCGAUUUCCUCAAGAACCAGCUUUUAUGCUUUUGAAGCAGAAAUGUUGGCUGCAAAAUGUAGUUGGAGCAGUAGACGGAACUGUAAUUCUAAUUAUAAAACCAGCUGAAUCUGAAGAAGCUGAUGUGUGCAGGAAAGGGUUAAUUAACAUUACUGAGGGGCUGUCAUUGAUGCCAACAUGAGAUGCCUGCAUUGCACUGGUGGAUGCCUGACUUUCCAAGCCAAACGAGUGCUGUGGAACAGCAAAAAUUUGCAUGCGCCUGCUCAACCUGUGCUUGGAAUUAUUCAUUCCGCUGAUAGAGGUAGAAGUUUUUGACAUGAUGGAUCCUGAGGUUACAAACAACGCACCAGUAAAGAGAGCAGCAGUCAAUAAGAGGCAGCAGCUGAUCGAACUGUUCAGUUGAAAAUGUCGUAAAGUGAUUGUUAUAUAUAGGAUCUGGCACGAGUUGCCAUAUCAUACCAUAUUUUAUUAUAUCAUCCAGGAAUUGUGUUAGUAAGCUCGCCUUUUAUGAAAUGCCAACAAGUGUCAUAUCUUUUUUAUCACAUGUUUUUUAAAUGAGCAAACAAAUAUUUACGCAAACAUAAUGAUAAAUCCUGAAUGUUGUUUACAUUUCGUGAUGUCAUUUGAUGUUGCAACAGCAUUUCAGCAAAAUAACAAAAUUAGAUUGGUCAAUCAAACGAAAUCUAAGCCAAUGAAAACGCUUAAAAAGUAUAUAUCACAUGUGUAAGAUAAAAAUAUUUGUAAUGGUAAUAUUACAUGGGGAACAGGGUAUGGCAUGUGAUAAAAAUAUUUAAAGUGAUAUAUUGCCGUAAAUUUUAUAUUUUCCAAAUAAGAAGAGCUAUAUUACACGCCCAAAUAUCAGUUUUUGCUUCCUCAUGCUUUAGUUCCAGUAAACAUCCAAUAACGGGAUAUAAUGUUUGCGAAAGAAAGUGUAAUUAAAUAUUCUUCAUAAUUAUCCGAGCUGCAGAAAAGAAGGUAUUUCUUCCUAUUAACGUUUUUUUUUCAAGUGAUUUUUCUUUGCAAACUGACCAUUGGCUCUAAUGGGUAUUGGAGAUUAGUACUGAGAAUUCUCAAAGUGACAUUAACACGAAGGCUUUUAAAUGUAUGUUUAUAAAAUUAUAGAGAGUGUAGAGUAUAUAAACAUGGAUAUUAUUGUCAUAUUAGAAGCUUGGUAAAUGAACAAUUACAUAUUUUUGCUAAAUGUUAUCAUUCAUGUACUGAAAGACAUCCUUGAUAUGAUGCUUUGUUAUAGAAUACAGUCUUUAGUUACCCUAAAAACUAUUAUUUAUGUUAAACCUGUUAUUGACUGGUGCAAUUUGUUUAGUAAUUUU